UACGUAGGGUGCGAGCGUUGCCCGGAUUUAUUGGGCGUAAAGGGCGCGUAGGCGGCUCGGCACGUCCGUUGUGAAAUCGCCCGGCUCAACUGGGCGGGGUCGGCGGAUACGGCCGAGCUGGAGGAAGCUAGGGGGUAAUGGAAUUCCCGGUGUAGCGGUGAAAUGCGCAGAUAUCAGGAAGAACACCCGUGGCGAAGGCGGCUUUCUGGGACGGUACUGACGCUGAGACGCGAAAGCGUGGGGAGCGAACAGG
rnacentral:rRNA from 1 species